AGAGUUUGAUCCUGGCUCAGGACGAACGCUGGCGGUGUGCCUCACACAUGCAAGUCGAACGGGGUAGCAAUACCUAGUGGCGGACGGGUGAGUAACACGUGGGAAUCUGCCCUAGAGUGGUGAAUAACUGGCCGAAAGGCUAGCUAAUGUGCCAUAUGUCGCAAGAUGAAAGCAGUAAUGCGCUUUAGGAUGAGCCCGCG
rnacentral:rRNA from 1 species